rnacentral:rRNA from 1 species
GACGAACGCUGGCGGCGCGCCUAACACAUGCAAGUCGAGCGGAGAUAUACGAAGAGUAAUCCGAGUAUAUCUUAGCGGCGGACGGGUGAGUAACGCGUGAGUGACCUGCCUCUUACAGGGGAAUAACGUGCCGAAAGGCACACUAAUACCGCAUAAGACCACGAAACCGCAUGGUUAUGAGGUCAAAGGAGCAAUCCGGUAAGAGAUGGGCUCGCGUCCGAUUAGAUAGUUGGUGAGGUAACGGCCCACCAAGUCGACGAUCGGUAGCCGACCUGAGAGGGUGAUCGGCCACAUUGGAACUGAGAGACGGUCCAAACUCCUACGGGAGGCAGCAGUGGGGAAUAUUGGGCAAUGGGGGAAAACCCUGACCCAGCGACGCCGCGUGAGGGAAGAAGGUUUUCGGAUUGUAAACCUCUGUUCUUGGUGAAGAGGGGAAGACGGUAGCCAAGGAGGAAGCCCCGGCUAACUACGUG